AAUCGCGGAUCAGCAUGCCGCGGUGAAUACGUUCCCGGGCCUUGUACACACCGCCCGUCACACCAUGGAGCCGGUAAUACCCGAAGUCAGUGGUCCAACCACGUGAGGACGCUGCCGAAGGUAGGAUUGGCGACUGGGGUGAAGUCGUAACAAGGUACC
rnacentral:rRNA from 1 species